CUAACCGCAUCGUUCGUUUGGGCAAAAAGUGGGCAAGCAAUCCUCUCUUUCUCGGUCUCUCGCUGCAGAUUUGGGGAAGAAAAUCGGGCGAAGCGCGAGACGAGAGGCAGCCCGUAAGUCUGCACCAACAACUGGAGGAGUCAAGAAGCCUCACCGCUACCGCCCUGGGACUGUUGCUCUUCGUGAAAUCCGCUAGUAUCAGAAGAGCACUGAGUUGCUGAUAAGGAAGCUGCCAUUCCAGAGGUUUGUUAGGGAGAUUGCUCAGGAUUUCAAGACUGAUCUGCGUUUC